rnacentral:rRNA from 1 species
GUGAAAUUGUUGAAAGGGAAGCGCUCAAGAUCAGACUCACUUGGUGGUAAUCAGCAGUGUGUUUCUGGGUCGUGCACUUGCCAAUCAUUGGGACAGCAUUGAUUUGAAUGGCAGGAAAAAGAUGUGAGGAAAGUAGCUCUCUUCGGGGAGUGUUAUAGACGCCUGUGUAAUGCGGCCGGGACGAGAUCAAGGCCCGCGCGUCUGGCUAGGAGGCGGUCGUAAUGGCUUCAAGCGACCCGUCUUGAAACACGGACCAAGGAGUC